AGUGCAGUGCGAGGCGUCCAGACGAACGGUAUGAUGUGCGUCGCGACGAUGCCGGGAAAAAGGACGCUGAACAGAACGUGGAUGAUGUUCAUGCCACGACGACGGACAACACGGCUUUUUUAUUUUAAAUCGACACACGGCGGCAACCAUCGGGCAUUCUCAUAAAACUGUGUGACAAGACGUCUCUGUAAUUUAAGUUUUCAAUUUUAUAAAAGUGAUUUAUCAGUUUUAAAUUAGUGUGCCAAUUCGGCUUGUUUUUAACAAAUUGAAUGGAAAAAUUACGUCUUAUUGAGGCUUUUAUUUAGACACCAUCAAAUCCUUAAUGCGCAGUAGAUUUAUUGUAGACUCGUUUUAUGUUAUCUAUUGUCAGGUGCGCAUUGUUUAUUGCUAUGAACUUGCCAAUGUCAGUUAAAUCUAUAUUCAAGUGAAUUGUGACUGAUGGAGUUUGGUGAUUGGAAGCUGUGUAUAGAAUAUUAGGUUUAAAUUCCAGCCUGGUAUCUAAACCUGUAAAAGAGUUCCAUAAUAUAGAAAACACACAAAAAAAAAGACAGAGCCGCAGCCUCGGUGCUGGUAAACACUACCAUAUUAUCAGUACGUACUAUGUACACAGCGAGAAAGAUCAACAUUGAAGAUUCGUCAUGCAUCGCUGAUAACAGGUGGCUUAUCUUAUCUGAACGCGCGAACUAAUUUUUAUCAUCGUGUUAACGGUACAAGUGAUAAAAAUAAAAGAUUGAAGACAUUAAUUUCUAGUUUCGUGAAAAGAGGAUAUCGAGCAUGUUGCACUCGUUAGACGCGUUGGCUGGAAAGUUAUCCCCAGGAGGGUCUAGUGUUCAGGGUAGUUCGCAGACUAGUUUAUUGGAUACAAACGCAAAUAGGGUCCAUCCCUACCUGAAACAAACUGGCGCAGGGAGUUCUACAAGUUCGAUCGCAAUGAACAACAAUAACAGCACACAGGCGAACAACAACAAUAACAGCAACAACAACAACAACAACAUUCUCGAGAGCCGCGAACGUAACAUAAAAAUCGAAGAACAGGAACAACCAGAUCCAGAUACGAUAAAAAUGUUCGUUGGCCAAGUGCCGCGGUCGAUGGACGAGAGCGAUUUGAGAAAUAUGUUCGAAGUUUACGGACGGGUACAUUCAAUUAACGUUUUGAGAGACAAAGCGACUGGAGCGAGUAAAGGAUGUUGCUUCGUAACAUAUUUUACUAGGAAAGCUGCCCUCUUAGCUCAAGAUGCCUUACACAAUGUGAAGACUCUAAAUGGGAUGCAUCAUCCAAUCCAAAUGAAGCCAGCGGAUAGUGAGAACAGAAACGAAAGAAAAUUAUUCGUCGGAAUGCUGAGCAAGAAGUUUUGCGAAAAUGACGUGCGUGCGUUGUUUACCGGCAUCGGAACAAUCGAGGAGUGCACAGUGCUCAGAGACACCGCAGGUAACUCACGGGGAUGCGCGUUCAUAACAUUUAGUAACAAACAAGCCGCACUAUUAGCAAUUAAGAACCUCCACCAAUCUCAAACGAUGGAGGGUUGUUCAGCCCCUCUAGUAGUGAAAUUCGCGGACACACAAAAAGAAAAAGAACUGAAAAGACAGCAACAAAUGCAAGCUAACAUGUGGAACGCUUUGACCGCUCCAACACUAGCCACGCCACCUCAACAAUACAGUCCAGUUUUACCAUCCGAGCCCACUUCUUUGCAGUUGCUACAAGCCAUGGGCGGUUCCGCGUUGCUACAACAGCAACUGUUAACGAACUCAGAAAAUUUACUAGCACCAAUUGGUGUUCAAAAUCUAGUGACUCUGGCGGCUAUGUCGCAGCCAGCUACGGCUGCUACGACACCGUUGUGUAUGGCAAAUCUGUUGGGAAAAGGUGCGGGAGUGGAAAGGACACUUACGGCAGCUGGUCUGCCGUCCACGUUGGGUACCACACCCGAUCUAAGUGCAUACGGGUCCUUGAUUACAAAUGCUACUUUGAACGCAGCAGCUAUUGCAGCAGCCGGUAAACAGAUAGAAGGUCCAGAAGGUUGCAACCUAUUUAUCUACCACCUGCCUCCAGAGUUUACUGAUACCGACCUGGCAUCCACGUUCCUACCAUUUGGCCCAGUUAUUUCGGCCAAGGUGUUCAUAGACAAACAUACCAACUUAUCAAAGUGUUUUGGGUUCGUGUCCUUCGACAACGCCAAUUCGGCCCAACAAGCGAUCGCAGCUAUGAACGGGUUCCAGAUUGGUACCAAAAGGCUCAAGGUCCAACUAAAGCGAGCCAAGGAGGCGGCAAAACCGUAUUAACCAAAGAUAUAAGUUACCUCCCAGAGACCAACUUCUGCCCCUAAAAGGGGUCUUGAUGUAGGAAACGUUGAUGAGAUUACACAGCAGGACAUACAGUAGCUUGUGAAGAGCCGCAACCCAUGAAGAAUGGAUUAUUUAUGGCUCUACAAAUAGGGCAUUCGUUCGCUGGAGUCAGGCCGUACCCAGGUGUUCUACGGACCAGUGGCGGUUGUCUUGUAAGGGCACGAUGAGCAAAAGCAUUAAAAAACUUGCGAGGUUUAUUGGGAUCAUGUAUUGGCGCCAUUAUACCUUUAGGUACACGUUGCAAUGGAGAUGGGCUGCUACUGGUAGAUGCCGCAGGAGUAUGCUAAAAAACAAUAAAAUUGUUGUGAUUGACUCGAAAAAUUCUCGAAAUGAUUAAUAAAUAAAUGGAAGCUAUUAUUAAUUUA
rnacentral:misc_RNA from 1 species